rnacentral:lncRNA from 1 species
UUGCUCUAAGCUCAUAAGCAGGAGAAAAGUAAUUAUGCAGAGCAAGCGGUUAAAUUAUGAAAAGGAUUGGACAUUCUGAGAAGGCUGAGACGUGGCUGCUCCUGUGUUUUCUCCCUGGGGUGCACUGCUCUACAAAGGUGAGCAGGCUGUGCAGGUCUUCGAGCUGAGGCAAGAAUGCCCACCUUGACUUCUGUUCUGCAGUGUUAGAGCUGUGCAGGCUGCCCCUGUGUUCUGGUAUUUUUAAGGGCCAACCAAAGGUGGCCUUGUCCCCACAUGAUCUACCCCACUUGCCCACUGCUUGGGCCUGAAUUUCCACCAUAGGGAUAGAUUCCUUCAUGUUUGAGGUGCUGUUCCAGGUUGAAAGGUAACUUGUACCACAGUUCAGAGAGCAGUCACUGAUAGGUUAUCUCAUCUGAUGAUCACAGCUUCUCAAUUAUUGUCAUUAAAACCCUUUGACAGAUAAGGAGAUUAAAGUUCACAGAGGUGAAGCCACUGGGCUCCCAAGGUCAUCACUGGGUGCCAGAACUAGGAACAGAGCCCAUAUCUCCUGGUAACCAGGUGAAUUCUCUUUCCAGCUUACCUGUCAUUCAUUGCCUGCUGUGUUUUUCAUGCAUAUGUGACUCAUGCUUCCACCUAGAUCACAUGUUUCUUGAGGUCAGAGCCCUUUCUGUGAUCUGCUUUACCUGUUUGACUUGCCUUGGUACAGAGAAUGGAGCUGCAAGACUCCCCUGGUCAGAUCACGUCGGGUCUCCUGAAGACACCAGGAGGAUUCUACUGUGCACAGGUUGAUUCAGUGUGUUUCCCAGUAAAGAAAAUAGGAUGCGGCCGUGCGCAGUGACUUACACCUGUAAUCCCAGCACUUUGGGAGGCCGAGGCGGGUGGAUCACCUGAGCUUCACGGAGCUACCUGAGUCAGCGCCUGCAUCUCCACCACCAUCAUCAUCGUCACUGUCUUCAUCGCCUCUGGGCUGGACCAGCCCCUGCCUGUGAGCUCCCUGGAGCCAGAGGUGCAAAGUCUGCAAUGACACAAAAAGCCAGCACGCUGGGAGGGGCUCUGGAGACCAUCUCAUUGUUCAUUCAUUUGUCUAUUCAAUCCAUUUUAUUGACUGCUCACUGUGUGCCAGACACAUGGGCCCUGGAGAUACAGAAGAAACACGUGAGGUCCCUGCCCUCCAGGAAUUAAGAAGAUAAAGUCAAAAGUGCUGUAAAGAACAACAGGAUGAUGGGCCAGUAUUUGAAGAGGUCGUUUUCAGAUGGGGUGGGCAGGGAAGGCAUGUCUGAGAAAGGAAUCUUUGUGGACACCUUAAUGCUUAGGACAUGGGGCUGAGAAAAGCAGGCAGAGGAAUUUCAGAUAACGCCUCAGUUGGUAAAAAGCUAGGGGGAUGGUGCAGGCAAGGAAUAGAAGGAAGGACAGUGUGGUGGGAGUUUGGUGGUGAGUGAAAGAGGGGCCUGGGGACCGUGCACACUUGAAGGCUGUAGCCGGGCAUCUGGCUUGGAUUUUGAGGACUGAGGGGACCAUUACAGGGCUUUAGGCAUGGGGAUGGCACGAUCCAAUUUACAUUUUUCAUGUCAUUCCAUCUGCUUCCUGGAGAACACAUGAUAGGAAGAAGGAACGUGGAAGCAGGGAGACCAGUGAGGUGGUAACUCCAGAAACAAAGAGGUGGCGGCUGAUGGGGCGAGUGGGAGGAGCCUGACCCUGGUGGAUUUUGGAGGCACAGAAGGCAAACCUGCUGGGGGAUUGUCUGUGGGGGACAGGGAGAGCAAAGACUGGGUGCCUUCCUCUUCCUGCCUUCCUCUUCCCGCUUUGCACCCCUUCUGGCCUGAAUCAUCUCCCUCAGGGAGUGGUGCCCUCGGGUCCCAAGAGGGCUGCAGACUGCAGGCCUCCCUGAAGUGAAGAUGCAGCAAAGUGGAAGACAGCACACGGAAACCAUGCAGCAGCUCCCUCUGGGGAAGAGAAAGAGGGAGCCACGUUGCUCUAUACCCUGUGGACUUCUUGCAAUAUGAACCUUCAUGGACCUAAGAAAAAUAAUAAUAAAGGAAAAAAUAGCCAGGUGGGCUGGUUCACACCUGGGAUCCCAGCACUUUAGGAG